CAUUAAGGACAUUCAUAGAUUGAGAGAGAUGUUAAUAAAGAGUGAGAGAGUCAAAGUACAUCAGAGAGAGUUUUUGAUAUUCCUGAAAAUGUUAACACACUUUCACAGAUAUGGUGCAUAAGAAUCUAAGAUAUGGUACCUAGAGACCGGUUAGAAGAAGACCUAAGUUUGUCUCUUCUGAUGAUGUCCAAACCGCUAGAACCAGGAAAAGGGAGCGGAUGAAAGUCAACAAUAAAAAGUAUGGUGAAAGGAAAUUUCUGCUCUUUCAUGGCACAGAAUCAGAUUCUAAGUUAAUUGAUUCUCUCUGCUACCAGAAUUUUGACUGCAAGUGUGGUGGCAAGGGAGCAGAGUACGGAGAAGGGUGCUACUUUGCCCGGGAUGCCCUCUACUCCCAUUUAGACAUCUGACCAUGGCAUGCAUUCCAUGUUUGUGUGCCGUGUACUCGUUGGCAGCUACACCAAGGGGCAGUCUUAUCGAUUAUCGACAACCAUUUUCGAUUUUCCAGACAGCUCCACUGCAUUCAAAAGCAUGGAAAGUGCACCACAAAUGGUAACCGUGGCCACUUUGACCUCGAAUUCAUCGGUAUCCCCGUCUUCUGUGGUCCCAAGCACAGCUGGACGACUGCCCUCUGACAGUCUGACCACCACAGGACAAAGUGGCACAUCCAGUGGCACAGUUUCCGCACAGCUCUCUAGCUCUGACACAUCGGCUCCGACUGUGGGUGCUUCUAGCCCGUCUUCUGUCCAGACAACACCCACCAAGCCGUCGACAGGGUCUCUCCAGAGCUCUGCCACAAAGCUCAUUCCUUAUCCUCGAGCUUCCAAAUCUUCCAAUUUGGAUCCAACCCGGGUUUUACCUGCAACAAGGAGCCAAGCAGUAUCAGUGAAGCCUUGCCCACCGCCCAAGCCAGUGGGUGUCUCCCACUUUGUUACUCCAAUAAAAGAAAUCUUAGGUACUACCUGCACUCAUUCUGCUGUGUCUGAGGAGAUAAACCCCCCAGUCUCUGGGCCUGCUCCCCACAACAACUCCCGGGUUCCUUCACCCAUGCCCAGACAAGUGGCGUCUUCCUCGGUUGCAUCUGAUACCACGGCCCAGUCUUCAGCGUCUCAAGGGGGCUCCGACGACACAACAGAUCCAUCCUCUCCAGAGAGACAGACCCCGAGAGUUUCUGAUUUAAUUAAUCGCUUCAAUCAUGGUAAAUUGUAAAUGGACUGAUGGAUACUCAAUCAUAUCAGUCAUAAUCAAAAAUAAGAUUCUGCUACACAUAUACACACACACACACACUCACACGUAUGAUACAAUAUACUAUAUGGUUAUUUUUUGUUGAUUUGAAAUAUUUUCUGUACAAGGCAGAAGCCAGCUUGGUGGAUGGGUGGAUGCACAUUUUUUUGUUUUUUUUUUGUUUGUUUUGAGAACUUUAAAUCCUUGUUUUGUCCACUAGGUGGCAACAUAGACAACAUAAUGUAGAACUGCCAGAUCUGAUACGGCUGAUACCCAGUUCUGCUCACCCCAACUGACCUACCAUCUGUAAUGUCCUCACUUCCGCUGUUUAGUAUGAUGUGAUACAAUUAAACCACAGUAACAUACUAGUAUCUGUGAUGAGAGUGUGUUGGCAGUCUGGUGGUUUUGGACAAGACAAUUGCAUUAACAUCUUCCUUACAAGGUGUGGCUGAUGAACAACCAGAUUGUUAUUGCAAGUUUAAACAAGUUAUUUUGAGUAUAAAAUAAUAGUAUGUUCACUACAACUAUAUGGCGGCAUUAGUCUCCAUGGUUAAUAGUCAUGCUUCGCUUAUAUUAAAAUAUAACUUUCCAAUGUUGAUCAUACUUUCCUCUUCAUCUCACUUUCUGUUGGUGUGCUAGUUAACAGUGAGGUCAACAACUGUAUCUGUUGUGUAAUGUGCAUUUGAAAUGGAAUUUCCAUUUUUUAUAGGUUUAAAAUUUCAUCAAGAAGUGAGCUUUCAUGUCUGUGACAGUAGAUAGUGGGCCUAGACAGUGAUUGUGUACAUGCUGGUUUUAUCACAGUAAUAUUGUUUCUUGUAAUUUAUAGUCUUGUUUAAAUCUGGCUCUUAAAGCUUUUGAUGCCACAUUUACAAGUAACCCCUUUCCCAUGACUUGUACACUGCAGAUAAUGGUUUCUGGGACCUAUUGAUGUU